rnacentral:lncRNA from 1 species
GUACUUUUGAGAAAAGCGAUUUUGAAAAAAAACACUUCUCAAAAUAAGCUGAUUUUUGCAGCUUGGCCAAACAGGCUAUAAAGGUGAUUGUAUUAUAUAGUCGAGGUACAAAAUCUUAUAAAAAGCAAAACAUUAACGAUUAAGUUACACCUCUAAGGUGAAGUAACUAUCUAUACCUGGAAGGGACUACGGAGGAGUAUGCUGUAUAAUUGGAAAAAGGAAGGAAAAAAGGAAAUAUAGUGCUGGAAAAUGAAUGCAAAAUUGGGAAAGAAGAUUAACAUGGCUCCUGCUGCGCAAGGAUGAAACCCACAAAUCGGGAUAUGGACAGAAUUCUUUUGACAAUUUUUAAUCUGGCUUUAAACAAGUUAUGGUCUUCUUUCUGCAUCUUGGGGUUUCCUUGGAACUUUCAAUCUGAGGUCAGUUCUUUUCUUCCUUUUUUUUAUUGCCCUCUUUGUAUAUGUAAAUUCUGGAAAAGAUUCUUGCUUUAUCAAAUAAGGAUCAAUUAUGCUUCAGUGUGCAAUUCUGGACUUAGAUGAUUAGGUAAAAUGACAAAGGUUUUAUCCUUCUUUUUUAAAGACUAUUUGUCAAGUUAGAUGUCCAAAGAAAUUGGUGGUUAUUUGACUGUUGUCAGCAUAUUAUUUACUCCCUAUUUAAACAUAACAAUUUUUUAUGUGGUGUUGGUGAAAUUUAAGUAAAUAUGGAUAACUUCUGUGUCAAAUUACAUAAAUUUAGACUUAUCUGCAUAGAAAUGGCAAGAGGAAGUGGAUAUAUACGGUGCAAUUUAGUAUCUGCCCAUGUCAAAUGGGUAUGACCAGAGGCUGAGCUAGUAAGAGAGAAGGGUUCAAUUGAUUUCCCUUCGUCAAAAAAUUAUACACCUGCAAAUAGGCUAAAUAUAGAAUAUUUUAGUUAUAUAUAAACUGUUGAUUCCCUUUGGCACAAGGAAAAUCAUACAAUAGUAGUCAAGGGGGUUAAAAAUUUGUUUCAGAUCACAUGUUCUUAUCCCAACUAUGACAUUCUUGUGUUUUUCCAAUCCACUGGCAUAAAAUUCCUGGCUAUGCCACUAGAGUAUAGCGCGCUAUGAGUAUGUGAUGUGGAUCCCAAAUCUGCUGCAACAUGCCCCUUCCAGUCCCAUACUCGGUAUCAGAUAUUUUUACCUGUUUUAGUGACACUUAAGGCUCAGAUACAGAUGUGGAAGGAAAAAAGGCUCGCUCAGCUCAUGGGCUGCUUGGCAAAGCUCAUGAAACUUAAGGCUCAGAUACAGAUGUGGAAGGAAAAAAGGCUCGCUCAGCUCAUGGGCUGCUUGGCAAAGCUCUACCAGACAAUGUUGGAGAAUACGUGAGCUCCCUGCCAAAGCAACAAUUGUAUUAGUUGAUCCACAUUAAUUUUCAUAGAUUUUUUAUUGUAUGACCAACGCCACAGGGACAAUAUUUAUGUAUGUAGUACAACCAUACAAGAACAGCCACAAUAUACGACUAAGAACCCUGUAAACUUCUGUUUGGGUGGGGCAGGAGGGGUUGAUUUUACUAGAUUGGACCUUUAAUCCUCACUUUUCUUUCGAUCCUUCUGUGAUCUAACAAGAAUACUAUAUUACUGAUACACUAACCGUAAGUAAACCAAGUUUUAGUUGUCCAAGCAAGCGUAAACCCUUGCGUUUGUCUUCUGUAAACUAUGUGGAUGUGAAGUAGAGAUGCUGUCUAGUCAAAAAUGCGAGUACUAGCUUGGAUCUUGGGAGACAUUCAUCACGCGGAACUAUUUUUUUGCUCGCACGUCGGUCUUUGUUAUCUGCGUGGCCUUAUCAUCUCAUUAGCAUAAGCUGUCUCAUUUUUGCCACAUAGUAUAUCCCAUGAGCUAGUUAAGCCAAUUCAGUUUUUGGCCCCACAUCCAACUCCCGAGUUGUUUAUUUUUGGAUUACUGGUCAUGUUUAUUCAAUAGGAUGGGAAGUUCAUUUUUUCUAUCGUAUAAUACUGCUAAUCAAGCCCUUAAUUUACCAAUGCGUCACCCCAAGCAUUUACAAUUGAGCUAGUUGAAUAUAUUGAGAACUUUACUGCAGAUUGUGGUCUAGUUACUCUCAAGAAUC